UCUGUGCCGGGGUCGAGGCUCCCCCAGACCACGCAGGAACCAACCCUCGAGGCCGAGCAGGCUCAAGCUUUUUGGUUUUCCCCUCUGGGACAUCCUUGCUGCUGUGAAAGGUGUUUCUGAAGGAGCUGAGGGAGAGCCCAGCCCAGGGAGGAGCUCCCAGCCGGAUUGUCCCGAACGUGACAGCGAGCGGGCGGCCACAGCUGAGCAGGGUCGGGAGGGGAACGAAGCAGCUCUGGGACUGGAAAAACACUGACUGCAAAUGAGAGCUCAGCCUGAGGAGCAAAAGCUGCCCCCAAAGCCAGCAGUCACCCUCCUGCAGCAUCCACCUUCCCUGCAUUACUGGGAAAAGCAACUAACUCCUGAUUUACUCAGAGCUCCUGCUUACACGUGCGAGGAGCCCCAGAAAUGCCCGUUUUAAGCGAUUCCCAGCCACAUCCGACUGAGCAACAAUAGGUGGAGCUGCAGGAGCUGCCGGCGGCCCGGAGGAGCGCAGCGCCGCUCGGGCAGGGAGGGCCCGGCCGGAGCCGCUGGCCUGGGCCAGCCCGGGCUCCACCGACACGGCCCGGCUGCAGACAGCCUGCACGGGAACUGCCUCUGCUCUGGAAAGAACCUGCUGCAUUCAUCAACUUGGGAGCGAUUUCAAAGCCAUGUCAUCCUCUAGACACAGCCACCUCUGGAAGAGCCCCAGGACAGUGUUUGGAAGUGGAACUGGAGACGUUUCCUGGCCAGAGCAGCACUGAGUGCAGCAGGACAGAGCCUGACCUGGAGGGAGCUGGUCCUGCCCACCCUGGGCAGGGCAUACAGGACUGUGUGAAGUGCAGCUUACAGGCAGCAAGGUGCCCCACGGAGAGCCUGAGAGGCAAGGAGAGAAACAUCAAGAGGGGAAAUUAGAUGGAGAAACUCAGCUCAGCUGAAGUAGAGCGUCCCUCCUGCUGUCCUGAGCACAGCCCUCAGAGCCUCCUCCUCUUCAAGCUCUGCCUGGCUCUGGCUGGACCACAGGAGCAUUUCCUGCCCUGCAGGGUGGCCCUGAAGCAUCAGCCUGUGCCUGGCCUUGCAGAGGCUCUGGCCUGGCUGCCUCCAUCACCUGCAAGCAGCAGAUGAUAAAAGGAGAAGAGAAAGCUGCAAGUCAGUGCUGGCAGUUUGUGGCCUCUCAUCACUGCUGCCAGCUCCUGGCCAGGGCUCCAAGAGCUCAGCCAGAGCCUGGCACAGCCAGAGCCACA